AUCAUAUUACAUGAGUUAAGCUAUCGGUGUCAUCUGGGAACGGGUAUCUCUCAAGGCAAGGGAGAAGAGAAUGAUCUCCUUAAUAUCGAAGAAGGCAAUCUUAUCAGUGAUGUGAAGAACGGAUGGUUGGAGUAUGGAGGAUUGGAUCCAAAUUAAAGAAAUGUUUGUUACACUUUUACUUGGCAGGAAAUAUUUA